GGCCACUUCAUAUUGAAACUCUUGUUCCCGUAUGAUCACCAAAGUUAAGCAAUGUUGAGCUUGGUCAGUACCUAAGUGGGUGGCCACAUGGGUAUACCAGGUGUUGUAAG